UACAGAGGUCUCAAGCGUUGUUCGGAUUCAUUGGGCGUAAAGGGUGCGUAGGUGGCGCCGUAAGUCAGGUGUGAAAUUUCGGAGCUUAACUCCGAAACUGCAUUUGAUACUGCGGUGCUUGAGGACUGGAGAGGAGACUGGAAUUCACGGUGUAGCAGUGAAAUGCGUAGAUAUCGUGAGGAAGACCAGUGGCGAAGGCGGGUCUCUGGACAGUUCCUGACACUGAGGCACGAAGUCCAGGGGAGCAAACGGG
rnacentral:rRNA from 1 species